UACAGAGGUCUCAAGCGUUGUUCGGAUUCAUUGGGCGUAAAGGGCGCGUAGGCUGCGGGGCAAGUCGGGUGUGAAAUCUCAGAGCUCAACUCUGAAACUGCACUCGAUACUGCUUUGCUUGAGGACUGGAGAGGAGAUUGGAAUUCACGGUGUAGCAGUGAAAUGCGUAGAGAUCGUAAGGAAGACCAGUGGCGAAGGCGGGUCUCUGGACAGUUCCUGACACUGAGGCACGAAGGCCAGGGGGAGCAAACGGG
rnacentral:rRNA from 1 species